UCUCUCCCUCCCUCUCUCCCUCUCUCCCUCCCUCUCUCCCUACAGAGUUACAGUUCAUGGUCGACCACCACCUAUAUCAACAGCAGCAGCAGCAGGGUGGAGGUGAUGAGUGUUCCUCAGAGAGCUGUCUGUCCGACAGACCCAGCCCGGACGCUCUGCCCAACGGGGAGGAGGAGGAGGAGCUGGAGCUACCGGAGGACGAGGAGGCCUGGGGAACCGAGGACAAGGUCAUUGCAGAGGCCUUCGAGAAGCCGCGCUGCCAGAUGGAGGCAGAGUUUUCGCGGAACAGUCUAUCAGAAGCUACAGGGGGACAUGAGUGCCCCCUCUCCGAGGAGGAAGUGGGAUGCUCCGCCGUUCUCAUGGCAGCAACAUCAUCGUCACAACAACAACAACAACAACACGCACUAGCAGGUAGGUUGAAUCACUGCAGCCGUGGCAGACAGGAGAGACACUCUCCUAAUCUCUUUGAAACCAUCAGUGAUCAUUCAAUGGGAUCCUUUAGAAUUCAGCCAGACAGCUUUUAUUUGUAUUUAUUUAUUUAUUUAUUUAUUUAUUUAUUUAUAUCUAUUAAACUAUUUAAAACUCUGUGGCUUCAUUUGGCAUGUUAAAGGUGCAAAUAUCUGUGACAGUGAUUUGAUCACUUGGUUUCAGAGCACCUGACAUUCAGCGAUAUGCCUGCAGUAGUGUGUUGCCAUUGGGAAUGUUUUUGUGUUUAUAAAAUACUGCAUACUGACUGUACCAUUGAACGUACGUCAACGUUUGGAAGAGAUUUCGAAAAUUAAAAAAAGUUGAAAGAAAUACUGUAGGAAAAAAAGAUGACAAGCUGUCAAGUUCAACUUUAUUUGUCCCAGAGGGCUUUUUUUUUGGUUUUGCAGGAAAGGAGCAUAAAAAUGACAAAUAAAAUCCACAUGGAUCACAAUGACACACAGUCCUAGUGGAAUACAAUGAGCUAGUCCAUCAAGUCCUAGUGGAAUACAAUGAGCUAGUCCAUCAAGUCCUAGUGGAAUACAAUGAGCUAGUCCAUCAAGUCCUAGUGGAAUACAAUGAGCUAGUCCAUCAAGUCCUAGUGGAAUACAAUGAGCUAGUCCAUCAAGUCCUAGUGGAAUAGACAGAAUCUUUGUAGGACUUGAAAAAAAAUUGUCAUCAAGCUCCUGUCUACCAGGAACAAAGUUUAUGCUGGCCCUUCUUACACAACAUGUCAGUGUUACACUCAGAGUUCAAUUUAUUAUCAAUUAUUGUGUCAAGAUACGUGGAAUCUACAGUGUCUACCAGCUGGCCCUUGAUGACAGUGUUAUGAAAUCAAUUCUGUCAUAAGAAUUGACUUUCACAGCAACGUACAACGUCAUCAACAACAGGGCCAUGGGCAGUUUCAUCUGCAUUAAGGAGACUAACUAUUACAGAGUCGUCGGCAGUCUUCAGGAACCAGCUAUUCAUCAGUGUACAAGUGCUAAGUGGACAAAAAUCUAGCCUUAUCUUACUGAUCGAUCUCCUUUUCUCUCUCUCUCUCUCUCUCUCUCUCUCUCUCCCUGUGUGUGUGUGUCCAAUAUGUCAGCUGCAGACACAACAGCUGCGUCCACAGCGAGUCCACUGGCAGAGAAGAACACGAAGACACCCAACCAGGCCAAACAAGACAAGUAGAACCGUAGAACCGUCUCCACAGCAACCUGGUAUGCAUCCUAAGUGGCAUCCUAUUCCCUAGCUAUGAAGUGUACUCCUUUUGAUCAGAGUAGUGCACUAUACAGGGAAUAGGGUGCCACUUGGAACGCAAACCUGACGUUCAAUAAGUAACUUAGACAGACAGACAGAAGACAGACAAUCACUGACCAUCCUUUUGACAGACAGACUUACGGCUGAAUUCAAUCUGUAUCACAGAGGUAUCGCAGAAGAUUCGCAUUAAAAUGCAAAUUCAUUAAAAUGCAAAUGUAUUCAAAUGCAAAUUCAUUCAAAUGCAAAUUCAUUCAUCAAAUUCAUUCAAAUACUACUUAAGAGUUUUUUGGGUAUCUGUACUGUACUUUACUAUAUAUAUUUUUGACAACUUUUACUUUUACUCCGCUACAUUCCUAAAGAAAAUCAUGUACUUUUUACUCCAUACAUUUUCCCUGACACCUAGAAGUACUCGUUAUGUUUUGAAUUGCUUAGCAGGACAGGAAAAUGGUCCGAUUUACACACUUAUCAAGAAAACAUCCCUGGUCAUCCCUACUGCCUCUGAUCUGGCGGACUCACUAAACACAAAUGCUUUGUUUGUAAAUUAUGUUUGAGUGUUGAAGUGUGCCCCUGGCUAUCUGUAAAAAUAUAUAUAUUAUUGUGCUGUCUGGUUAGCUUAAUAUAAGGAAUGUGAAAUUAUUUAUAUAUAUAAUAGCAAUUACAUUUACUUUUGAUACUUAAGUAUAUUUAAAACCAAAUACUUUUAGACUUUUACUUAAGUAGUAUUUUACUGGGUGACUUUCACUUUUACUUGAGUCAUUUUCUAUUAAGGUAUCUUUACUUCUACUCAAGUAUGACCAUUGGGUACUUUGUUCACCACUGUGUAAAGGUAAUUUCUGAUUGAGCCAACAUGUGCAGCUUUUACCGUGAAUGCAGUCUCUGCGACCACGGGAACAUUGCCUUUAAUUGUCAAUGGUUGUCACGCCUGCUCCCGCUCUCCCUCUCUGGCGCUCGACGGCGCCAGGCUCCCCAUCAUUACGCACACCUGUCACCAUCAUUACGCGCAUCAGCGCUCAUUGGACUCACCUGGACUCCAGCACUUUGUUGAUUGCCCCUCUGCAUCUGUCUGUUACUCAGUUUGUUCCCCAUGUCAGCAUUAUUCAUGUCAUUAUUUUUCCCUUCCAGACGAUGUCCUUGUUCUGUUUCAUGUCCGUUAUUUAUUAAGUGUUCCGCCCUGUACUUCUCGUCUCCCAGCGUCUGUCCUCACAAUGGUGCUAUAAAGCGGAUAUUCAUCGCUACAGAUGGAAUAGAACCCUUUCUGUAGAUAUGGAGCUAUCAGGGUAUCGGUCUGGCCGGGCCUUAUACCAUGCAGGUGGAAAUGGCAAUGUGGCUACUUUACAUUAGGUCCAAAAUCCUACAGUACCGGUCAAAAGUGGACACACCUACUCAUUCCAGUGUUUUUCUUUAAUUUUACUAUUUUCUAGACUGUAGAAUAAUAGUGAAGACAUCAAAACUAUGAAAUAACACACAAGGAAUCAUGUAGUAACCAAAACAAGUGUUAAAAAAAAUCAAAAUAUAUUUUAUAUUUGAGAUUCUUCAAAGUAGCCACCCGUUGCCUUGACAGCUUUGCACUCUCUUGGCAUUCUCUCAACCAGCUUCUCUUGGCAAACCCUGGAAUGAGUAAAACAUUCUCUAACAUGAAGUUCCAAACCGGGACAGGAGAUACGUAUUUGGCUAUAUUUCAUGCAAAGUGUUUUUUUGUUGUACACACAAACUGUAGCAGCCUACCACUCCCAUGUCUAAUAUGCCUCCUGCGUAAAACUCAUGAAUCAAAAUAUUGUUCAUUGUUAUUGUAAUUGUUAAUUGGUUUAUUAAUUGUUAAUUAAUAUAACUAAGAUAUUUCUAAGAUUGCUUUAAUGUUUUAGGACAUUCUGUCCUGGACUCUUGAAAAACAAGCAGUAGUCGUGGUUGGCUAACAGAGAUCCUAAACAACAACAACAUAACAGGAUGCCUAUUUUUAUGAGUCACGGGGCAGUCAGAAGCCGCCUCACAAAUGACACCCUAUUCCCUAUGUAGUGCACUACUUUUGACCAGGACCCAUAGGGCACUAGUAAAAAGUAGUGCACUAUAUAGGAAAUAGGGUGCCAUUUGGGAUGCGUGGAGGGAAUCGUCUCUGAUACAAUUUCGGAACUGAGAUCAGUCUCUGUCCAUGUGAAUCUCUGAAGUCUAAAAUGACAGAUAAGGGACCUUCCGUUGGACAGAAGGACUCUGGCUGAACUUUGACCUUCUAAACUAAAACAACAUUGACUACUCACAUACCACUCAUGCAUGGCACGACUUUUACCUCACACUCCCUUAGUACUGUGCUAAACCCAGUACAUACAUUAAAAGUACUGAACAAAAAAAACAGUGUAUGUACAAUAACAACAUCCAGAAACGUUCGUAACUUAUUUCAUCUUUGGUAAUUAUAUUUAUUUUCUACAGGAUUGAUCCCAUACUCUGAUGUGGCAUUAGGCCCAUGAUUGAGUGACAUUUUAAACAACAGAUGUAGAAUUUUAAUUUGAUCACCCUGUUGCAGGAGAUCUUUCUUGCAUUGCAGGACAUGUAAAACUUUGAGAUUUUAGACUUGAUUGUUCCUGUAGACUUGAUUGUAUCAAACCCUACCAAAAAGAAAUGGACAAUUAAUUAUAUUUAUCAUAAUUCACAUUUAUAAAACUGGCUUAAAUUAAGAUUCUACACCUGUAUUGAGCUGUCGACAGCUACUGUUCAGUGUCAUCAUGUCCUUUUGAUUAUAGACUGGGUCUUUAUUCCAUGUUAUAUAUGUAUAGUACACAGCAAAUGAAUCACGUGCAAAUUAAAGAUGUCUACAGAAAUGUCAUGUCUAUAGAGAGAUUGGUUUUCCAAUUAUUUAGCACUGAACACUUAAAUGAACACAUUGUUUAGCCAUUAUUGAUGGACACAUACAUUAUACUGCAUUUAUUUUAUUUUCUCAGUUAUAAACGAUGGUAUACAAAACAAAUCUAUAUCAGCGUUUUGGCUAAACUUUAUUGGUUUGAAUUGAUAAAGAUUACAAAGUGUAAUCUAAUGGCUCUAUUCAAUCUGUAUCUCGGAGAUUCAACGUUACAGCGUGAUUGAAAUGUAAAGGCAACGUUCCCAUGUUAGGGGAGGAUGCAUCCAGAUGCGAUGCAGAUUGAAUAGAGCCCUAAAAUUUGAUAUAUGAUACAAUAUAGUGUCGAUGUGAAAGAAGUGUCUGUUUUACUUUUAAAAAAAAACAACAUCCUAAUUAACUGUAAAAAUUGCUCUUAUUGCUCAACCAAUAGUAGGCCUUAAUACAAUAAGAACCACCAAUAGCAGGCCUUAAUACAGUAAGAACCACCAAUAGCAGGCCUUAAUACAGUAAGAACCACCAAUAGCAGGCCAAGAAGGUGUGGGUCCCAACUGGAACCCUAUUCCCUUCAAAGUAUACUAAUUUUGACCGGGACCCAUGAGGCUCUGGUCAAAAGUAGUGCACUAUAAAGGGAACAGGGUUCCAUAGGGUCUCUGGUCAAAAGUAGUGCACUAUAAAGGGAACAGGGUUCCAUAGGGUCUCUGGUCAAAAGUAGUGCACUAUAAAGGGAAUAGGGUUCCAUAGGG
rnacentral:lncRNA from 13 species